rnacentral:rRNA from 1 species
AGGACUGGGAUAACUUCGGGAAACCGGAGCUAAUACCGGAUAAUAUAUUGAACCGCAUGGUUCAAUAGUGAAAGACGGUUUUGCUGUCACUUAUAGAUGGAUCCGCGCCGCAUUAGCUAGUUGGUAAGGUAACGGCUUACCAAGGCAACGAUGCGUAGCCGACCUGAGAGGGUGAUCGGCCACACUGGAACUGAGACACGGUCCAG